AUACGUAGGGUGCAAGCGUUAAUCGGAAUUACUGGGCGUAAAGCGUGCGCAGGCGGUUUUGUAAGACAGGGGUGAAAUCCCCGGGCUCAACCUGGGAACUGCCAUUGUGACUGCAAGGCUGGAGUGCGGCAGAGGGGGGUGGAAUUCCGCGUGUAGCAGUGAAAUGCGUAGAUAUGCGGAGGAACACCGAUGGCGAAGGCAAUCCCCUGGGCCUGCACUGACGCUCAUGCACGAAAGCGUGGGGAGCAAACAGGAUUAGAUACCCUGGUAGUCCACGCCGUAAACGAUGUCAACUGGUUGUUGGGGAUUUAUUUUCUCAGUAACGAAGCUAACGCGUGAAGUUGACCGCCUGGGGAGUACGGCCGCAAGGUUAAAACUCAAAUGAAUUGACGGGG
rnacentral:rRNA from 1 species